rnacentral:rRNA from 1 species
UACGUAGGGGUCAAGCGUUGUCCGGAUUUAUUGGGCGUAAAGCGCCCGUAGGCGGCUUGCCAAGUUCGAUGUGAAAUCUCCCGGCUUAACUGGGAGGGUGCAUCGAAAACUGGCAGGCUUGAGGCAGGGAGAGGGAUGUGGAAUUCCAGGUGUAGUGGUGAAAUGCGUAGAUAUCUGGAGGAACACCGGUGGCGAAGGCGGCAUCCUGGACCAAUAUUGACGCUGAGGAGCGAAAGCCAGGGGAGCAAACGGG